ensembl:lncRNA PCBP1-AS1 PCBP1 antisense RNA 1
GGGGCGUGGAGGGUAGGGAGCCCCACUCCUUCCUGUUUAUUGUCCUGCUUUGCUCCUGCAGGGUUCAGUGCGGUGUGCUUGCUUCAGGGUACACCCAGGAGACGCUAAUGGGUGAUAAUGAGGGUGUCCCGCCCCAAUACCUAUACUUGUCAAUAAUUAACCAUGAUUUCCUAGGUUCUGGGAGGAGGUAGUGGCACCUGGCCUGCCCUGGCUGGUUUAGCUCAUGGGGCACCUCUGGCGUAGCCAUUCCAAGGUCUCUGUGUGCUUCCAGGCUGUUCUAGGGAUGGGUACCUCCCAAGGCAUAAGGGAACUUGAGAACUGACCUUUACCCAUGUUCCUGAUCCUAGCCAGAGACAGACUCCCAGACUCGGCCAGAGGCUGAUGCCAACUCCUUCCAGCUCUCACGGUAACCAUGAGGCCCCUGCGUGUUUCUGUUGUGGAGGUCCCAGAGGGAACUGUAUGGACAGACACAGCCCGAAGGGCCAUCUGCCUCAAGCCACAGCAGCACAGAAUUCUAAAGAUUGUGGGGAAGGAUGGGGCCAAGGGGACCAGAUGUGCAGAGGUAAUGAAUACCAGGGAAUCAGGAAACCACUGGAUCAGUUCUUUGAGCCACAGAACAACACUCAUCCCAGCAGCUGGGAAGCUAUCUGCAAAAGUCCAUCUGCAGAAAGGGCUUCCUGGUCUUGCGUGUGGCUGGGCCAUUUCUCUGGAUGCAGGUUUUUCAUUAUACAGUCUUCUCAAAGAACCACCUGCUCUCAACACCUUCUCGGUGACUCCAUUUCCCCUCCUCU